AAUCGUACCCCAAACCGACACAGGUGGUCAGGUAGAGAAUACCAAGGCGCUUGAGAGAACUCGGGUGAAGGAACUAGGCAAAAUGGUGCCGUAACUUCGGGAGAAGGCACGCUGGCAUGUAGGUGAAGUCCCUUGCGGAUGGAGCUGAAGCCAGUCGAAGAUACCAGCUGGCUGCAACUGUUUAAUAAAAACACAGCACUGUGCAAACACGAAAGUGGACGUAUACGGUGUGACGCCUGCCCGGUGCUGGAAGGUUAAUUGAUGGGGUCAGCCGCAAGGCGAAGCUCUUGAUCGAAGCCCCAGUAAACGGCGGCCGUAACUAUAACGGUCCUAAGGUAGCGAAAUUCCUUGUCGGGUAAGUUCCGACCUGCACGAAUGGCGUAAUGAUGGCCAGGCUGUCUCCACCCGAGACUCAGUGAAAUUGAACUCGCUGUGAAGAUGCAGUGUACCCGCGGCAAGACGGAAAGACCCCGUGAACCUUUACUAUAGCUUGACACUGAACAUUGAGCCUUGAUGUGUAGGAUAGGUGGGAGGCUUUGAAGCGUGGACGCCAGUCUGCGUGGAGCCAUCCUUGAAAUACCACCCUUUAAUGUUUGAUGUUCUAACUCGGCCCCAUAAUCUGGGGUGAGGACAGUGUCUGGUGGGUAGUUUGACUGGGGCGGUCUCCUCCCAAAGAGUAACGGAGGAGCACGAAGGUUAGCUAAUCACGGUCGGACAUCGUGAGGUUAGUGCAAAGGCAUAAGCUAGCUUGACUGCGAGAGUGACGGCUCGAGCAGGUACGAAAGUAGGUCUUAGUGAUCCGGUGGUUCUGAAUGGAAGGGCCAUCGCUCAACGGAUAAAAGGUACUCCGGGGAUAACAGGCUGAUACCGCCCAAGAGUUCAUAUCGACGGCGGUGUUUGGCACCUCGAUGUCGGCUCAUCACAUCCUGGGGCUGAAGUAGGUCCCAAGGGUAUGGCUGUUCGCCAUUUAAAGUGGUACGCGAGCUGGGUUUAGAACGUCGUGAGACAGUUCGGUCCCUAUCUGCCGUGGGCGUUGGAAGAUUGAGAGGGGUUGCUCCUAGUACGAGAGGACCGGAGUGAACGCACCACUGGUGUUCGGGUUGUCAUGCCAAUGGCAUUGCCCGGUAGCUAAGUGCGGAAAAGAUAAGCGCUGAAAGCAUCUAAGCGCGAAACUUGCCUCAAGAUGAGUCUUCCCUGGGCCUUUAAGGCCCCUGAAGGAACGUUUAAGACUAAGACGUUGAUAGGCUGGGUGUGUAAGUGCAGCGAUGCAUUGAGCUAACCAGUACUAAUGAUCCGUGAGGCUUAACCUUACAACACCGAAGGUGUUU
rnacentral:rRNA from 2 species